GUUGGUGUAGCAUAAUAUAAUGCAUUUGUUUUAAGCGCAGAAGAUUUAUCUCCAACU
rnacentral:tRNA from 1 species